UACGUAGGGUGCAAGCGUUGUCCGGAAUUAUUGGGCGUAAAGAGCUCGUAGGCGGUCUGUCGCGUCGGCUGUGAAAUCCCGAGGCUCAACCUCGGGUCUGCAGUCGAUACGGGCAAACUAGAGUAUUGCAGGGGAGACUGGAAUUCCUGGUGUAGCGGUGAAAUGCGCAGAUAUCAGGAGGAACACCGACGGCGAAGGCAGGUCUCUGGGCCACUACUGACGCUGAGAAGCGAAAGCAUGGGGAGCGAACAGG
rnacentral:rRNA from 1 species